CGCCGAUGGGCCCGCGCGGGGCUUGGAGACGGUCCGGGGUCCCGGCGAGGGCCGGCGGGCGGGAUUUCACGCGAAGAAAAGGGGAGCCCGGGGGGCGGGGAGGCGGCGGAGGGAAGGCUCGGCGCCGCGGCGGUGGCGGCUGUUGGAGCCGCGGCGGCGAGCGACGGGGGAGCCGAGGAAACUCGCUCCUCGCCUCCAUUUCUGGGCCAAAAAGUUUGCGGGCCGAACCGGAGCGGGCUGAGGGGGUGGGGGGUCCCCUCCCCGCGCCGCCGGGGCCCGGCCCGGGGGAGCUGACGGCCGGCGGGGCUCGGUCCCGGGGACGCGGGGCCGCCGGGGCAACUUACCCCCCUUCUCCUUCGGCUGGAGCUCGGCGAGCUGGAGGCGGCGCAGGCGUUGGAGAGCGGCGGCGGCGGCGGCGAACACAAUUGAAAGAUGGCUGACACCGAGUUCUCAGUAGCACGGCUCAAGUCAUCCCGUUAUCAGUGCAUGGGCCUGGAAGAUGUGGACCCUCCGCAGAUGGUGUUGACAACUGUGUGCGAAGGUUUUCAGUACAAGUGUCAUGCAGACAACCC